rnacentral:rRNA from 1 species
AGAACGAACGCUGGCGGCAUGCCUAACACAUGCAAGUCGAACGAGACCUUCGGGUCUAGUGGCGCACGGGUGCGCAACGCGUGGGAAUCUGCCCUUGGGUUCGGAAUAACAGUUGGAAACGACUGCUAAUACCGGAUGAUGACGUAAGUCCAAAGAUUUAUCGCCCAGGGAUGAGCCCGCGUAGGAUUAGCUAGUUGGUGAGGUAAAGGCUCACCAAGGCGACGAUCCUUAGCUGGUCUGAGAGGAUGAUCAGCCACACUGGGACUGAGA